rnacentral:rRNA from 1 species
UACGGAGGAUGCAAGCGUUAUCCGGAAUGAUUGGGCUUAAAGCGUCCGCAGGUGGCUGUGUAAGUCUGCUGUCAAAGAGCAAAGCUCAACUUUGUAAAGGCAGUGGAAACUACACGGCUAGAGUGCGUUCGGGGCAGAGGGAAUUCCAGGUGUAGCGGUGAAAUGCGUAGAUAUCUGGAGGAAUACCGGUGGCGAAGGCGGCAUCCUGGACCGGCAUUGACGCUGAACAGCGAAAGCUAGGGGAGCAAACGGG